UAUGACAAAUUAUAGAAAAAUCAAUGUUUGGUGGCAGGUCUUAUGCAGCUUUCCAACAAAUGAUACGCGGGAAACUGGUCAAAACAAAGCCAACGAAACAUCCUGUUCAAGAUUAUGCAACCAGUCCGUCGACUCUCGUUGACCCCGAAUCGGUGUCUCUCCCUUAACUUCGUCUCGUUACACGUCCUCUCGCUAAUUAUCGCGGCGCGAUUGCGAGAUGUCUGCUAGUUUCUUGAUUUUGCAUCCUAGUCGUGAGAAAGUGCAUCGAACACAAGCGAGAGAAGACGAAAGAGGCUAUUCUCGCAUUCUACGACCUAUUAAUAACGAGCUACCAAUCAACUAUAGGCUCACCCACGCUAGAUUUUAUCUAAAUAAAGUCCAAAUAAUUCUACGUAAUUCUGGAUGAAACAGAUGAUUAUUUCUAAAGAGGAGACACACUAAAUACACGAUCUUAGGAUUGAGUUUUGUUGGCAUGUGUCGUUUAACCCCAAUUUCUUUUAGUCGCCGGAAGAACGUGCCCGGGCAUUUAAAUGUUCCGAAUUUCGACGGAAAAGGAUUAUAUCUUAUUGUCGACGAUAUGGUUUUAGAUGUUGAACUUUCAGUCAUUGCUCGACAGAAUUUAAAUUUACGAAAGAUGUCGAAUCAAGAAGAAUUGCGAUUGAAGUAUAUAUUUGAACUCUUGAAAGAGUCUCGAAAAUUGAAAAUAAAAAAUUUACUCACGG